AUUGUCAAUCCACCCAGUAUCGUUUGAAGUCGAUGACAAACAACAACAAUAGAAGUUGUCAACUUGUUUUCCUUUUUGCACGAGUUUGCUUACAGUAAGAAUUCUGGCUUCGGCUCCUAAAUAUUGUUAGCUGCUGAUACAAAAUAAUCUGUUCCCCAGAAUUAUUCGUGCGACGUUGCGAUAAGGAAAGGCACCACUCAUUCGACGGCCAUGGCGCAUACAACGAGAAAAACAACAAGGAGAGAUCAGAUUCGGCUCGGGAUUUUUAACUGGAAAAACGACUAUGGCGCGAUUGACAGCAUUUUGAGGACAUCCGCUUGUGUCCGUCAACUCAAAUUGAAUAACAAAGAUGAAGUUCAAAAUAAAUAUAUAAUAACAUAAAAUC